rnacentral:lncRNA from 1 species
CAAUGGUAAUUACCAGUCCGAUCCGGUAUUUUCGCGCCGCGCCAGAGCAGUGCCGGAAUCCCUGCACGAGGUGAAGGUUCGCCGCCCGCAGCGCGGUUUCGUCCCUCCAUAUUCGUCCCUUUCGGCCACUCUCCAAAACUGGGCUUUUCAAUAUCCAUUUCCGGGUUUAGUUUAUCUGUUUCCGGGUCGUUCACCCCGAAGUCUGUCCACAUCAAACUGCCCGCAGUGCCCCCAUCGGUUUUUGAUAACUCUACAGGACAGCCGUCUCCUCCAUCAUCCUCGCGGAGUUUCUACUUGUUUAAUUGUUUCGUUCAAUCUUCGACGAGUUUUUCGAGUGGUCUAUAUUUGCUCUACGCAACGAGCAAGUGUUGGAUUUUUCGUGCGGGACCCAAAGGCAAUAAUUCUUUGAGGCUUAUUGAUUCACCUCCACAACCUCGAAAGGGGCAAUACCUCGGUCAUUUUUUGAAAAACGGAAACAGGAAGCAAACAUGUUUUAUUGAAGCAAAGCGCUUUUAUUCGUAGAAGCUAUUGGAUCUCCACUCUAAGCUCUUCCUCCCGUUUCCAGCUCUUUGGAUUGAAAUAUAUCUCUUGAUCGUGAUAAAGAAUAAGCCACUAAAAUAAUCGUAUGUCUCUGAAUUGAAUGAAUCUGAUUUAGAUUUGAGUUAAGUGGUAAAUUGGAUGUCAGCGAUGGAUAUAGCAAUAUUGAAAUUCAAGUACAAAUGGACACACGAACAUGAAAUGCUCCUCAGUCAGCAAAGGACGAACUGAGAGACUGAAAUAUGUGCUUUGCACUACUUUAAAAGUUCUCUGAAGAUAUUUUAAGAUUUGCAGCUCCUCGCGCAGUUUUAAUUCAAACCUCCCCCGAGAACCGGAGGGACCUGAUUUUGUGGCUUUGUUUGUUGAAGCGUAGCAGGUUAUUGAUGAAAACUUUAACCAAAAUUAUUGUAACUUUUUACGGAUACUACAAACUGUUUCGGAAUAAUCUGAACUGUGGCUUUCUUGAAUUUGGGCAGACCUUUGAAUUGUCUGAGACCAACAUCUAUAAACGUAUAAAACAGAAAAUAGGAUCCAAGAAAAAUUGCCCGUUUUACUCAGCGGUUUCUUGAUCAAUGUGCCAGAUAAGUUGGACAAAGGUAUAAAGUUAAAAAUUCGAAAUAUAUUAUGACAAAAUGUAUUCAUCCAGAUAUAAUGGAAGUAUUGUGAAUUCAUUUUCUGAUUAGAAAUUCAUAUCUUCUAAAAUUGAUAUCAAAUUUUUAGGAAAAUUUUCGCAGAACAAAAUUUUUCUCGUUCGUUGAAACCGAUCGACAUUUUACUCACAUUUAAAUUUCUUUUGCUGAGGAAAAACACACUGUGAAAACGCUCUCCUUUGGUGAGUUGCAGUUUAAGUGAAUUAAGUGGGAAAACCAAAUAGAUGCUUACUAUAUUUUCACACGAUUGAAAAGAGUAACAAUUUCAAAUUUCGAUUUUGAAAGAUCGGAGAAUUGUAUCUGAUAAUAAUGUUCCUGAACUGCCAUCUCUCGUUUCCGAUCAUUGACGUAAUUUGAUAUUUCUCCACAAAUUUUGAAUUGCAUUUCUCGUUUGAAAGGAUUUUAAGACCCAGCAAGAUUAGCUGUCUCAAAUAAUAACAAGGAUUGAUAUAAGAGAAAUAAGCAUCUUUGCCUUGUUUUGAAAUACGACUGAGCAAAUUGGAAGAAUGCCAAAGCUUUAUUAAUCGAAAAAAUUUU